ACCGCGGCUGGCGAGGGACGGGACGGGACGGGACGGGAAGGAAAGGAAAGGUGCAGCGGGGGAAGCCGCCCUGCCCGCUCCUUCCCUCCCUCCGAAACCGAGUCACCCUCGCAAUUCCUCGGUGCCGUCCCCGGCUCAGUGAGGCCGCGCGGCGCAGCACGAGAGAAGAGCGCGGUCCCACGGCAGGGAGCGGGGAAAUGACCCCCAGCGUCCCCGGGGGAAGAGGGGCUGUCCAGGACGGGUACGGACACAGCUCGGCCGGCCUCUCGCUGGGAGCGAACGGGGCUGAAAGAUACCACUGCCUUCUCCAACUUCUGGCCUAUGCAUUUUUAUCUCUUAGAGAGAGCUGAAGCUAACAGAGGGCUGUAUUCCAUCCGAAGUACUGGUACAAAUGAGGAGAUGAAGUAAAGAAGUUUCAAGACAUGGAGAGUGGAUAUUACAAGAAUGAGAAAAUAAGAUUACUUAAACCAACUCAGAAUUUCACCCUCAGAGAAAAACAUAGAUGGGGUGAGAGUUUAAAUUUCAAUGCUUUUUUCUUUUUUUUUUAACUGUUGAAGAAAGCAGAAAAAUGUAGGUUUUUCAAAAGCUCAUUUACAUGCAACCACAACUGCUAGGAAAAGAUUUCUUUUCUUUCUGAAUGACUUAAACCUCUUGGAAAUUUUAUAAAAGUGCCUGGCUAUGAUUGAGCAUCUCAGUUGAGUGGCUUUUUAUUUCCUUCUUCCCUACAAACCUGAUGACAGGAGUUCAGAGGAGUUAAAGUGAGAAACAAUCAGCUAUGGAGGGUCACCACACACUGUAGACCCAAAGCCUCAUAACAACCAGGCAGCUGGAAUAUUUCACAGGAUUCAGUGACUAUAUUUGCUACUGUGCAGCCACUGAUAACACCCAAAUGAUUCUAUAAGGAACAUCCACGUUCAUUUGUUACAGGAAAGUUGUGCAGGUGUUGUACAAACAGCUAGGACGGGGUUUGUCCCCUUUAACUCACCAAGCCUGCACCUCUAACCACAAUGGAAAUACAGGUUAGACAGAUUGAAUUGAAAUUGUGUGGCAAGUCCUACAUACAUAAACAAGGAAAUUGUCUUUAGCCAAAAUACUCAUUUCAGCCUGAAAAUUCUGAAAAUUCUGUAUGUAAUUUCAAGUAAACAAAAAGUCCACCUAACUUCAACUACAGGAGAACAUUUUCUUACUCUUUUUUUCAAACCCAUGUUUGAAACCCAUGAAUUUUAUGGCUAAGAAACUUCAGGCUGCAAAUCUUGAAUUUACUAUACAUGCACAAGCAUUUAGUCCUCAAAAGUAUUCUGUGAUAUGCUUAGAAAUAAAAUUAGUGUUAUGUCCACUGAUGACAAAAUAAAAUAUUUUUUGGUAAGAAACAGAAAUUAAUACAAAACUGCAACCAGUGACUUUUACCUGUAAGAUGGUGUGGACAGCAUGUGCAACAGGAAAAAUACCUUCAGUUGGUGAUAAACAGUUUGAAAAAUCAAUAUAAUAUCCAAUUUUGAAGGAGUCCAGAAUUAAAGUAAUCACUGCAAAUAAUGUAAUCCCACCUACAAAUGAAAAAGAUAUUAGAAAAUUUUAAGGUAUAGUUAUAGUGUCUAGACACUAUUUGUAAAAUACACAGAAAUCUAGGGGAAUGAAACUUGAUCAGUAUCUGUGUUCUUGUUUAGGGAAAUAUGACUAGAUCAGUGCUCAUGAAGAUAAUUGACUCCAUUAAAUAAAUACCUCUAAUUUGGACAGCCUCUGCCCAGUAGGUUAAGCAAGGUCAUCACUGGGCAUCCCCUGCACGGUCAGUGAGGAGUGGCCAGCCCUGCAGUGCCCAGCUCUGGGCAGGGUCAGCUCCCAAGUGACAGUGGCACUGCAGCAGCCAGAGAGAGCCUGAAUGACUGCUCUCAGCAGCCCCACAGCAAACGGGGCAGUCCUGGGGAGCCGAACAAUCACCUUACAGUCUCCCAGCCCAAAAGCUGGGGGAAGUAACACAAUCACUCGGUGUGCCCUCCCCGUGCCUCAGGGGUCACGCUUUAACUCAGAGACCACAACCACAACAAAAUGUAUGGUUUGUUCUCCGAGAAAGGAACAAAAGAUUAAAUUUCAGUACUUAGAUUUCACACAUACACAAAAAUAUCUUAACAUAUUAGUCUAAAUAGCCAAAAAAACUUUGAAAUAUAUUUCCCUUUGUUUAUUUUGUUGUUGUUGUUAUUAUUGGUUUAGAACCGUAUGACUAAGUACAACUGGCUGCAAGAUUACUAAUCCAAAAUCUAAG